GGCAACCUGGCGACGAGUGGCGAACGGGUGAGUAAUGCAUCGGAACGUGCCCAGUAGUGGGGGAUAGCCCGGCGAAAGCCGGAUUAAUACCGCAUACGACCUACGGGAGAAAGCGGGGGACUCGCAAGAGCCUCGCGCUAUUGGAGCGGCCGAUGUCAGAUUAGCUAGUUGGUGGGGUAAAAGCCUACCAAGGCGACGAUCUGUAGCUGGUCUGAGAGGACGACCAGCCACACUGGGACUGAGACACGGCCCAGACUCCUACGGGAGGCAGCAGUGGGGAAUUUUGGACAAUGGGCGCAAGCCUGAUCCAGCCAUGCCGCGUGCGGGAAGAAGGCCUUCGGGUUGUAAACCGCUUUUGUCAGGGAAGAAACGCUCUGGGUUAAUACCCCGGGGUAAUGACGGUACCUGAAGAAUAAGCACCGGCUAACUACGUGCCAGCAGCCGCGGUAAUACGUAGGGUGCAAGCGUUAAUCGGAAUUACUGGGCGUAAAGCGUGCGCAGGCGGUUAUACAAGACAGAUGUGAAAUCCCCGGGCUCAACCUGGGAACUGCAUUUGUGACUGUAUAGCUAGAGUACGGUAGAGGGGGAUGGAAUUCCGCGUGUAGCAGUGAAAUGCGUAGAUAUGCGGAGGAACACCGAUGGCGAAGGCAAUCCCCUGGACCUGUACUGACGCUCAUGCACGAAAGCGUGGGGAGCAAACAGGAUUAGAUACCCUGGUAGUCCACGCCCUAAACGAUGUCAACUGGUUGUUGGACGGCUUGCUGUUCAGUAACGAAGCUAACGCGUGAAGUUGACCGCCUGGGGAGUACGGCCGCAAGGUUGAAAACUCAAAGGAAUUGACGGGGACCCGCACAAGCGGUGGAUGAUGUGGUUUAAUUCGAUGCAACGCGAAAAACCUUACCUACCCUUGACAUGUCAAGAAUCUUGCAGAGAUGUGAGAGUGCUCGAAAGAGAACUUGAACACAGGUGCUGCAUGGCCGUCGUCAGCUCGUGUCGUGAGAUGUUGGGUUAAGUCCCGCAACGAGCGCAACCCUUGUCAUUAGUUGCUACGAAAGGGCACUCUAAUGAGACUGCCGGUGACAAACCGGAGGAAGGUGGGGAUGACGUCAGGUCCUCAUGGCCCUUAUGGGUAGGGCUACACACGUCAUACAAUGGCCGGUACAGAGGGUUGCCAACCCGCGAGGGGGAGCUAAUCCCAGAAAACCGGUCGUAGUCCGGAUCGCAGUCUGCAACUCGACUGCGUGAAGUCGGAAUCGCUAGUAAUCGCGGAUCAGCUUGCCGCGGUGAAUACGUUCCCGGGUCUUGUACACACCGCCCGUCACACCAUGGGAGCGGGUUCUGCCAGAAGUAGUUAGCCUAACCGCAAGGGGGGCGAUCACCACGGCAGGGUUCGUGACUGGGGUGAAGUCGUAACAAGGUA
rnacentral:rRNA from 1 species